AUUGAACGCUGGCGGCAUGCCUUACACAUGCAAGUCGAACGGUAACAGGUCUUCGGAUGCUGACGAGUGGCGAACGGGUGAGUAAUACAUCGGAACGUGCCCGAUCGUGGGGGAUAACGGAGCGAAAGCUUUGCUAAUACCGCAUACGAUCUACGGAUGAAAGCGGGGGAUCUUCGGACCUCGCGCGGACGGAGCGGCCGAUGGCAGAUUAGGUAGUUGGUGGGAUAAAAGCUUACCAAGCCGACGAUCUGUAGCUGGUCUGAGAGGAUGAUCAGCCACACUGGGACUGAGACACGGCCCAGACUCCUACGGGAGGCAGCAGUGGGGAAUUUUGGACAAUGGGGGCAACCCUGAUCCAGCCAUGCCGCGUGCAGGAUGAAGGCCUUCGGGUUGUAAACUGCUUUUGUACGGAACGAAAAGACUCUGGUUAAUACCUGGGGUCCAUGACGGUACCGUAAGAAUAAGCACCGGCUAACUACGUG
rnacentral:rRNA from 2 species